rnacentral:lncRNA from 1 species
CAGCGGCGGUGGCGUAGGAGCAUAUACAGUACAUGCGUUUCGCCGCAGCUCGGCUGGACCCGGUGAACAAUAGAAGGCAGCACCCACGUGACCCUGCGUUCCCGGAUGUUGGUUCCCUAAGUUGGUCUCCAACCGCCCCUAGGGCGCCACAAAGUAUCUAGUGUGUCACCUGAUUGGAGAGG